rnacentral:rRNA from 1 species
UGCCAGCCGCCGCGGUAAUACGGAGGGGGUUAGCGUUGUUCGGAAUUACUGGGCGUAAAGCGCGCGUAGGCGGAUUGGAAAGUUGGGGGUGAAAUCCCGGGGCUCAACCCCGGAACUGCCUUUAAAACUGUUAGUCUUGAGAUCGAGAGAGGUGAGUGGAAUUCCAAGUGUAGAGGUGAAAUUCGUAGAUAUUUGGAGGAACACCAGUGGCGAAGGCACUUUACUGGGCUAUUACUAACACUCAGAGACGAAAGCUAGGGUAGCAAAUGGGAUUAGAUA